rnacentral:rRNA from 1 species
CGGCGGACGGGUGAGUAACACGUGGAUAACCUACCUAUAAGACUGGGAUAACUUCGGGAAACCGGAGCUAAUACCGGAUAAUAUAUUGAACCGCAUGGUUCAAUAGUGAAAGACGGUUUUGCUGUAACUUAUAGAUGGAUCCGCGCCGCAUUAGCUAGUUGGUAAGGUAACGGCUUACCAAGGCAACGAUGCGUAGCCGACCUGAGAGGGUGAUCGGCCACACUGGAACUGAGACACGGUCCAG